UACAAGAUUAAUAAAGUAGACCUGCAGGACCCGAGCAGAGCUACGAUGCUCUCCCAGGUACUUCAAGCUUUACAGUAAGAAGUCAAUGAAGUGAAGGACUACAGCCACAUCCCAGCCCUUCAGAGAACUGUCCUGCAGAAAAGGCUGUCGUCCAGACUGGAGCGGUGGGCCAUCCGUGAGCUCAGGAGACCAG